UACACUCUGCGGGAGGCAGCAGUGGGGAAUAUUGGACAAUGGGCGCAAGCCUGAUCCAGCCAUGCCGCGUGAGUGAUGAAGGCCCUAGGGUUGUAAAGCUCUUUCACCGGUGAAGAUAAUGACGGUAACCGGAGAAGAAGCCCCGGCUAACUUCGUGCCAGCAGCCGCGGUAAUACGAAGGGGGCUAGCGUUGUUCGGAUUUACUGGGCGUAAAGCGCACGUAGGCGGACUAUUAAGUCAGGGGUGAAAUCCCGGGGCUCAACCCCGGAACUGCCUUUGAUACUGGUAGUCUUGAGUUCGAGAGAGGUGAGUGGAAUUCCGAGUGUAGAGGUGAAAUUCGUAGAUAUUCGGAGGAACACCAGUGGCGAAGGCGGCUCACUGGCUCGAUACUGACGCUGAGGUGCGAAAGCGUGGGGAGCAAACAGGAUUAGAAACCCUUGUAGUCCCAUGAU
rnacentral:rRNA from 1 species